rnacentral:rRNA from 1 species
CUUGGAAGCAGCCAUUCAUUUAAAGAGUGCGUAACAGCUCACUAGUCGAGCGAUCCCGCGUGGAUAAUACACGGGCAUAAAACUGUCAACCGAAGCCGUGGGGUUAGCUUUAUUGCUAACCGGUAGGAGAGCAUUCCUGCCAGCUUAGAAGGUCACCCGCGAGAGUGACUGGAGCGGCAUGAAAAGCAAAUGUAGGCAUAAGUAACGAUAAUGGGGGCGAGAACCCCCCACGCCGCAAGACCAAGGAUUCCCCGGCAAUGUCAAUCAGCCGGGGGUCAGCCGGCCUCUAAGGCUAACCCGAAGGGGGACGCCGACGAGAAACGGGUUAACAUUCCCGUGCUUCUCGUCACCGUGACGCGGUGACGGGGUGAUGAAUGGACCGCGCGCAGACGGAAUAGCGCGUUGAAGGCCGUACCCUUUGAGGGUGGUAGUCAAGCACGCCACCCGAGGCGAAAGCCGAUAGUACCUCGAGGCCUCGGCCGAGGGGAUAGCGUCCAGGCAAUUAACCCCCUAGAAAACCCGCUAAACUUCAAGUGACGAGGAACCGUACCGUAAACGGACACACGUGGUCGGGUAGAACAUACCAAGGCGCUCGAGUGAUUCAUGGUCAAGGAACUAGGCAAAAUAGUCCUGUAACUUCGGGAAAAAGGACGCUCUAGUGAUAGAGCCGCAGAGUAAUGGCCCAGGCGACUGUUUACCAAAAACACAUGGCUAUGCCAAAUCGAAAGAUGACGUAUAUGGCCUGACACCUGCCCGGUGCCGGAAGGUUAAGAGGAGAGCUCAUCAGUAAUGAGAAGGUUUGAAUUGAAGCCCCGGUAAACGGCGGCCGUAACUAUAACGGUCCUAAGGUAGCGAAAUUCCUUGUCGGGUAAGUUCCGACCUGCACGAAUGGUGUAACGAUCUGGGCACUGUCUCGACCAUGAGCUCGGUGAAAUUGUAGUUCCGGUGAAGAUGCCGGGUACCCGCGACGGGACGGAAAGACCCCGUGAACCUUUACUGCAGCUUCGCGUUGUUCCCGGGCACGGGACGUGUAGGAUAGGUCGGAGGCAAUGAAUCGGUUUCGCCAGGAAUCGAGGAGCCAUCGUUGAAAUACGACCCUUCUCUUGUCUGGGAUCUAACCCUAGGUACAGGGGACACCGCGUGGUGGGUAGUUUGACUGGGGUGGUCGCCUCCAAAAGCGUAACGGAGGCUUCCAAAGGUACCCUCGGGUUGGUUGGUAAUCAACCUCAGAGUGCAAUGGCACAAGGGUGCUUGACCGGGAGACCAACGAGUCGAUCGGGUGCGAAAGCAGGGCAUAGUGAUCCGGUGAUCCCGCGUGGAAGGGUCAUCGCUCAAAGGAUAAAAGGUACUCCGGGGAUAACAGGCUGAUCGCCCCCAAGAGCUCAUAUCGACGGGGCGGUUUGGCACCUCGAUGUCGGCUCGUCACAUCCUGGGGCUGGAGAAGGUCCC